rnacentral:rRNA from 1 species
AUACGGAGGGGGCUAGCGUUGUUCGGAAUUACUGGGCGUAAAGCGCACGUAGGCGGCUUGUCAAGUUGGGGGUGAAAGCCCGGAGCUCAACUCCGGAACUGCCCUCAAAACUGGCUCGCUAGAGUCCGGGAGAGGUGAGUGGAAUUCCCAGUGUAGAGGUGAAAUUCGUAGAUAUUGGGAAGAACACCAGUGGCGAAGGCGGCUCACUGGACCGGUACUGACGCUGAGGUGCGAAAGCGUGGGGAGCAAACAGGAUUAGAUACCCCGGUAGUCC